AAUGUGGCUUUACUAGCUUUUAGCCACCAUAAAGAGUGUAAUUUUACUUUUUCUAAUAAGCCUUCAAUGGAUGUUUGGGUAUUAUUAAAAAGUCUGUUGUUGCGUUCAUUCCAAACCAUCCACACACAAAGUAACCAAAUGAGCUGCAUAAAGGAUCUACGCGCCCUCGUAUGACCUGUACAAGUAAUAAACUGAAUAAAAUGGUCACUAAGAUCAUGGGGAUCAGCUUCGGACACGCCAAUCCACGCACGGAUAUGCUGCCAAACUGCGUCAAAAGUAGCACAAUGAAGGAACAAGUGAUUUGCGGUUUCUGCAAU
rnacentral:lncRNA from 1 species